rnacentral:rRNA from 1 species
GAUGAACGCUGGCGGCGUGCUUAACACAUGCAAGUCGAACGGAAAGGCCUCUGCUUGCAGGGGUACUCGAGUGGCGAACGGGUGAGUAACACGUGGGUGAUCUGCCCUGCACUUCGGGAUAAGCCUGGGAAACUGGGUCUAAUACCGGAUAGGACAAUGGUUUGGAUGCUGUUGUGGAAAGUUUUUCGGUGUGGGAUGAGCUCGCGGCCUAUCAGCUUGUUGGUGGGGUAAUGGCCUACCAAGGCGUCGACGGGUAGCCGGCCUGAGAGGGUGUACGGCCACAUUGGGACUGAGAUACGGCCCAGACUCCUACGGGAGGCAGCAGUGGGGAAUAUUGCACAAUGGGCGCAAGCCUGAUGCAGCGACGCCGCGUGAGGGAUGACGGCCUUCGGGUUGUAAACUCCUUUCGCUAGGGACGAAGCGUUUUUGUGACGGUACCUGGAGAAGAAGCACCGGCUAACUACGUG